GAUCCUGGCUCAGGAUGAACGCUAGCGACAGGCUUAACACAUGCAAGUCGAGGGGCAUCAUGGGGUAGCAAUACCUUGAUGGCGACCGGCGCACGGGUGAGUAACGCGUAUGCAACCUGCCCGAUACCGGGGUAUAGCCCAUGGAAACGUGGAUUAACACCCCAUAGUACUUUUAUCCUGCCUGGGAUGUGAGUUAAAUGUUCAAGGUAUCGGAUGGGCAUGCGUCCUAUUAGUUAGUUGGCGGGG
rnacentral:rRNA from 1 species